GAAAACAAGAAAAAUCGGAGAGAGCCCUUUGGCGGAAGUUGACUAGAUGGCGGGGAAGGCCCGGGAUCGCGGCUGCUUUGUUGUGCUUCUUAGUGCAUUACACAGGUCUGGCGUCCCCGUCGGACCCUCUCACACAAGGUGACUCACUUCCUUUUCCGGGUGCUGGAUGAAGCCUCCACCAGACACAGAGCCCUCUGGAGACUGCAUCCGGGUCAAAGGGCACAGAGCACAGAGGCCGCCUCACCUGGAGACAGCGAAGGAAUCCGGCCUUCUUCAAAGAGGCCGUCAGAGAAGAGGUGGUGAUGAACGCUAAUAGGAGCCGUGAACAGAAUCUUAAUACUGGAGCUCCACAAAAGAGCUGCGUGUGUGUCCUCUCGUCAUUCUGCCCCCACCCGUCUGCCCUUCAGCGGAAAUAACAUCAGAUUCUUCGCACAGGAUACUGCCACACAUUCAGAGGCGGCUCUUCAAGUUUGUGAAAGUGUAUUAAGGUUUCUGAAUUAAAAUAGAAACCCACCCUUCGUUUCUGCUUGCUAAAUUUAUCUGGACACAAACUGGCUUUUCUCAGUAGGUGGAGGAAGACCUAGUGACGCUUGCU